rnacentral:lncRNA from 1 species
GACUUCUCCCGCUUAUGUUUUCUUGCUCCAGGAACUAGCCGCAUGGGCUCCAUGAGUCAGCCUUGCUGCUGGCACCCAGAGGCGCAGGGUCCCCGUCCGCUCUCACGCGCAGCCCGGUGGGGUUUGGGAAACCCGAGAGCAGAGCUAGGGGCUGGAGAUCAUCAGCAAGUCCUUGCGGCGGGCCCCGAAGGACCGGGUGGACAAGGAUGGACUGCGGGGUGUUUGCCCCGAGGCUUUCCCGGAAGCCAUCCUUCCACGACUGCGUGGGACCCCUGGACCCGCUCGGAGGACCGCGUCCUGCGGAGGCUGAAGGCGUUCCGGGGCCGAGGAAGGGCCCGCGCUGGGAUCCAACCAUCCCCCCACCCCCAGCAUCUCCGCAUCUGCGCCCUCCGCGCCCCAACUCCUCUGCAGAAACCCACGCGGGCCGUGGGCGCCCUCGCGCGACAGAAGAAUUAACUAGCGCCGCCAGCACGAGGCGCAGGGUCUGUCCAGGGACCAUCAGGACCGCGAGGUACCGCUGGGAGGCCCCCAGAGGGAACAGAGGAGCUGUGGCUCAGCGCUGGGAAGGGCAGAGCUGCUGAGGGAGGGGGGCGGCCCGGGAAGGGCAAAGCCGGGGGUAGGCUUUCCAGGGUGACCAUGGCCACGACCCCUGGGGAGGCAGGGGCUGCUGUAAAGCUGAAGGGGCUCCAUCCUGGCCAGGGGUGGAGGGAGAGGGCAAGAGGCUCCAGUGAGGUGGCCAGGGCAGAAGCCCAGUGGGGGUGGAACCCGCUGCUGGGUUGGAUGUGACGGGGAACUGCAUGCAAGCAAGGUGACAUGUAAGCUAAGGUGGCACCCUGGUUUGGGGUUUGGGUGGCUAUGUGAGUGCCAGUGCCAUUUCUUCUGAAGGGGGAUGCACUUCAGGGUGGUGGGGCAGGUUGGGAUGGGAACCAAGAAGUCCACUUUAAGAUUCCCUCAGUUUCAGGUGGAGACCCAGAGAGAGGUGGAGGCUGCAAUGAAAGUGUCAGGGUAUUGGGAUGUGACCUCGUUACCCAGGAAGAUGAAGGCAGAGACGGAAGGGGCCCCAGGAUUAAAAACUAACAUAUCCAUUUUGCAGCAGCUGGACAGUCUUUUCCUUUAAUCGAGAAAGCACGGACUGCACAGAAAGGGCAAAAAGCAAACCUGAAGUGCAGGCUGCCUUGUGGGCCUCUGGAGCUGGCCGGGGGCCCAGCCACUGGGAGUCAGGCAAGGGAGCAGGCCUCCAGUCCAGGGGCCAAGCCCGGGCCUCCCUCCCUAGAUGGCUCAGGAAACAAGCCUGAUUGGAUGCAGAGGAUCCAAGU